AUGUGUUUGCAACCCUGGCGCUUUAGUGCUGGAACUGCCACAGAGACAGCGAGCGAGCAUCCCUCUCCGAACGGUGUGUGGGAUAAACAGAAAGAAAAACCUGCUGGGGGAAACGGCAGGAGACCAGGCUGCAAAGACCAGACGCCAUCUCCAGCUGCUCCCGCUGUCUACAAAAACGGGCUGAGGUGGUGUAUUAAAAAGAAGAAGAAUUCGAAGAAGGAGGAUACUCCCGAGGGAGAAGCGAAACCGGCAUGUGUCAGUCUUUUGCUCGGACAGAUGGGCAAGAAAGAGGUAGGUUCUGAAGCCCACCUCGAGUUUUCGGGGAGAAGAUAAAUAUUGAGGAUUGUGGUGGUUGUCUCUGAGGACCUGUGCCCUCCUCAUGGAAGCCUGCGGCAUCACAAAUUUGGACGUUUGCAUCCUUGGUUAGAAACAACAGGAUGUAAUAUCGUGGCAAGCACAGAAGAUAAAGCCAAUGGUGGUUUGCUCAGCUAUGGGCCGGCCCUACCGGGAGUGAGAAGGCACCGGCUGCCUCCCAUGACAAAUUUGGAGCGGCAUGAAACGGCAGCACUUUAUUAGUGGAGAUGGUGAUGUUCACUGUUACAUCAGGAAGGAUGUGCACAUGAACCAGUUGGCAGAUGGACGUCCCUGGAUGAAAGACACUAUUGGUUGAUGCACCCUUGACUUGAUGCGCCUUCUUACUCACACCAGUCGGUCCUUACUUUGUCCACAAACACACCCCACAAUUGAUUUGCCUCUGGCUUUUUGUUAUUAUUCGUACAGUUCUAGUUUUAAUGGAAUGUAAUCUUGAAGAUAAUAAGUUUAUGUCAAAAUUCACUAGUCCCUAUUAUCCGCCAUAUUCUAUUCAGGCUUUUUGGUGAUUUCUAAGAUUUCUCCCAUUCUCUCUCUCGGUGUGUCUUUCUCUCUCAUUAUCUUGAUAUUCUCUUCCUUAGCAUAACAAAUUGAAACUGGACUAGGGCCAUUGACUUGAUGGGAACCUGGAGGGGGGGAGGGACUCCUCCCUGUGUUCCAUUGAUCCAACGGGCCGACUUUGUGUGACUCGCUAUGCCAAGCCACAGGAUCUGGGGAGGGAAUGCCAACAGAGAAGACGUAACUUGGCACCACAUGGCAUUUCUGAAACAUGAUCUGCCAAUCUCAUCAAUAACAUGCAAUUAAAAGUAUUCCCAUUUAUAGGUGCUCUAGGGAUAAUUUAAAACACGCACAAACGGAUCCUUUCCCCCACUUUUAUCCAUUCAGAAGACAGUUCCUGCUACCGGUGAUAAUAACCAUCCGGUGAAUAAAAAUUAUUCCCAUUGCUCCCGAAAUAAUCA
rnacentral:lncRNA from 1 species